rnacentral:ncRNA from 2 species
AACAAUGUAAAUCUCCGAGCCUGCCUGCCUAAAGAAAUUAUCUAUGGCGGGUUGGCCGGUUAGGGUGCGAAAGGAAACGAUCGCGCCUCCCGGCGAGUGACCGCUCGUCAUUGGAAAGGAGACUCACAUGAUAAUG